AUAUUGGUCAAUGGUCGCAAGACUGAACCAGCCAUGCCGCGUGCAGGAAGACGGUCCUAUGGAUUGUAAACUGCUUUUAUACAGGAAGAAACCCUCCCACGUGUGGGAGCUUGACGGUACUGUAGGAAUAAGGAUCGGCUAACUCCGUGCCAGCAGCCGCGGUAAUACGGAGGAUCCAAGCGUUAUCCGGAAUCAUUGGGUUUAAAGGGUCCGUAGGCGGUCUUAUAAGUCAGUGGUGAAAGCCCAUCGCUCAACGAUGGAACUGCCAUUGAUACUGUAAGACUUGAAUGCUUAGGAAGUAACUAGAAUAUGUAGUGUAGCGGUGAAAUGCUUAGAUAUUACAUGGAAUACCAAUUGCGAAGGCAGGUUACUACUAAGUGAUUGACGCUGAUGGACGAAAGCGUGGGGAGCGAACAGG
rnacentral:rRNA from 1 species